AUUGAACGCUGGCGGCAGGACUAACACAUGCAAGUCGAGCGAGCGGCGGACGGGUGAGUAAUGUCUGGGAAACUGCAUGAUGGAGGGGGAUAACUACUGUAAACGGUAGCUACUACCGCAUACCAUCAGAUGUGCCCAGAUGGGUUUAGCUAGUAGGUGGGGUAACGGCUCACCUAGGCGGCGAUACCUAGCUGUUCUGGGAGGCUGACCAGCCAAACGGGAACUGAGACACGGCCCAGACGCCUACGGUAGGCAGCAGUGGGGAAUAUUGCACAAUGGGCGCAAGCCUGAUGCAGCCAUGCCGCGUGUUGGAAGAAGGCCUUCGGGUUGUAAAGCACUUUCAGCGGGGAGGCGUUACCCGCAGAAGAAGCACCGGCUAACUCCGUGCCAGCAGCCGCGGUAAUAC
rnacentral:rRNA from 1 species